GACGAACGCUGGCGGCGUGCUUAACACAUGCAAGUCGAACGGAAAGGCCCUGCUUUUGUGUGGUGCUCGAGUGGCGAACGGGUGAGUAACACGUGAGUAACCUGCCCUUGACUUUGUGAUAACUUCAGGAAACUGGUGCUAAUACCUGAUAGGAGCUCCUGCUGCAUGGUGGGGUUUGGAAAGUUUCGUCGGUUGGGGAUGGACUCGCGGCUUAUCAGCUUGUUGGUGGGGUAGUGGCUUACCAAGGCUUUGACGGGUAGCCGGCCUGAGAGGGUGACCGGCCACAUUGGGACUGAGAUAAGGCACAGACUCCUACGGGAGGCAGCAGUGGGGAAUAUUGCACAAUGGGCGGAAGCCUGAUGCAGCAACGCCGCGUGCGGGAUGACGGCCUUCGGGGUGUAAACCGCUUUCGCCUGUGACGAAGCGUGAGUGACGGUAAUGGGUAAAGAAGCACCGGCUAACUACGUG
rnacentral:rRNA from 1 species